GAUUGAGUUUUCUCUCACUUUUGUGAUUUUUUUGUCACUUGACUUUUUACUCUUUUCUGAGUGCUUUUGUUUAUGUUCGAUACUUUUUCCACUUGUUUUUUACUUUUGACUUUUUUUAGCACAUUUUUGCUUGACUUAUAAUCACUGUAUCACAUUAUUUCUUCCUUUUUUUUCUUUUUUUGGAAACCACCAUAAUGUAUCUACCUAAACCCUCAAUAUCUAUGGCCUGGCGUCUAUUUCGUAAUCUAUUAAAGGAC
rnacentral:lncRNA from 1 species